GGAAUACAUUUCAAGUUUUCGCAUCAAGCGCCCACCUGGAUAACAAGGGAAUACAUUUCAAGUUUUUGCAUCAGGCGCCCACCUGGGUAAUAAGGGAAUACAUUUCAAGUUUUUGCACAGGCGCCCACCUAGAUAAUAAGGGAAUACAUUUCAAGUUUUUGCAUCAGACGCCCACCUAGAAAACAAGGGAAGACAUUUAAGGUUUUGCAUCAGGCGCCCACCUCAACAAGGGAAUACAUUUUAAGUUUUGGCAUCAGGCGCCCACCUGGAUAACAAGGGCAUACAUUUCAAGUUUUUGCAUCA
rnacentral:lncRNA from 1 species